rnacentral:rRNA from 1 species
GUGAGGAAUAUUGGACAAUGGGCGCAAGCCUGAUCCAGCCAUGCCGCGUGCAGGAAGACGCAUCUAUGGUGUGUAAACUGCUUUUGUACGGGAAGAAACACUCCCUCGUGAGGGAGCUUGACGGUACCGUAAGAAUAAGGAUCGGCUAACUCCGUGCCAGCAGCCGCGGUAAUACGGAGGAUCCAAGCGUUAUCCGGAAUCAUUGGGUUUAAAGGGUCCGUAGACGGUUUAAUAAGUCAGUGGUGAAAGCCCAUCGCUCAACGAUGGAACGGCCAUUGAUACUGUUAGACUUGAAUUACAAGGAAGUAACUAGAAUAUGUAGUGUAGCGGUGAAAUGCUUAGAUAUUACAUGGAAUACCAAUUGCGAAGGCAGGUUACUACUUGUGGAUUGACGCUGAUGGACGAAAGCGUGGGGAGCGAACAGGAUUAGAUACCCGAGUAGUCC